rnacentral:rRNA from 1 species
GAUGAACGCUGGCGGCGUGCCUAAUACAUGCAAGUCGAGCGAACGGACGAGAAGCUUGCUUCUCUGAUGUUAGCGGCGGACGGGUGAGUAACACGUGGAUAACCUACCUAUAAGACUGGGAUAACUUCGGGAAACCGGAGCUAAUACCGGAUAAUAUUUUGAACCGCAUGGUUCAAAAGUGAAAGACGGUCUUGCUGUCACUUAUAGAUGGAUCCGCGCUGCAUUAGCUAGUUGGUAAGGUAACGGCUUACCAAGGCAACGAUGCAUAGCCGACCUGAGAGGGUGAUCGGCCACACUGGAACUGAGACACGGUCCAGACUCCUACGGGAGGCAGCAGUAGGGAAUCUUCCGCAAUGGGCGAAAGCCUGACGGAGCAACGCCGCGUGAUUGAUGAAGGUCUUCGGAUCGUAAAACUCUGUUAUUAGGGAAGAACAUAUGUGUAAGCAACUGUGCACAUCUUGACGGUACCUAAUCAGAAAGCCACGGCUAACUACGUG